GCUGACACAUCCCGGCCAAUCUCCAGCAGACCCUCCCUCCCAGAUCCUCCCACCUCCUGGACAGCAUUCAUGUUGAAGGCAGCUUCAACAUGGAUGCUGCCCAGGAGGUGGGAGGGUCUGGGAGGGAGGGUCUGCUGGAGAUUGGCCAGGAUGUGUCAG